rnacentral:tRNA from 1 species
UGAGGAGCUCAGUUGGUUAGAGCGUGGUGCUGACAACACCAAAGUUGCAGGUUUGAUCCCUGUAUGGGAAAAG